GCUGUAGCUCGGUGGUAGAGAAUCUACUUUACAUGCAGAAGGUCCCAGGCGCAAUUCCUGGUGUCUCCA